UUCGAACGGAGAGUUCGAUCCUGGCUCAGGAUGAACGCUGGCGGCGCGCCUAACACAUGCAAGUCGAACGGUUAAAGCACCUCCGGGUGUGGAUAAAGUGGCGAACGGCUGAGUAACACGUGGGCAACCUGCCCCUCGCUCCGGGACAGCCUCGGGAAACCGUGGGUAAUACCGGAUA
rnacentral:rRNA from 1 species